AUUGAACGCUGGCGGCAGGCCUAACACAUGCAAGUCGAACGGUAGCACAGAGGAGCUUGCUCCUCGGGUGACGAGUGGCGGACGGGUGAGUAAUGUCUGGGGAUCUGCCCGAUAGAGGGGGAUAACCACUGGAAACGGUGGCUAAUACCGCAUAACGUCGCAAGACCAAAGAGGGGGACCUUCGGGCCUCUCACUAUCGGAUGAACCCAGAUGGGAUUAGCUAGUAGGCGGGGUAACGGCCCACCUAGGCGACGAUCCCUAGCUGGUCUGAGAGGAUGACCCGCCACACUGGGACUGAGACACGGUCCAGACGCCUACGGGAGGCAGCAGUGGGGAAUAUUGCACAAUGGGCGCAAGCCUGAUGCAGCCAUGCCGCGUGUAUGAAGAAGGCCUUCGGGUUGUAAAGUACUUUCAGCGGGGAGGAAGGCGAUGUGGUUAAUAACCGCAUUGAUUGACGUUACCCGCAGAAGAAGCACCGGCUAACUCCGUGCCAGCCGCCGCAGUAA
rnacentral:rRNA from 1 species